rnacentral:rRNA from 1 species
AUUGAACGCUGGCGGCAUGCUUUACACAUGCAAGUCGAACGGUAACAGGGUGCUUGCACCGCUGACGAGUGGCGAACGGGUGAGUAAUGCGUCGGAACGUGCCGAGUAGUGGGGGAUAACGCAGCGAAAGUUGUGCUAAUACCGCAUACGUACUGAGGUAGAAAGUGGGGGACCUUCGGGCCUCACGCUAUUCGAGCGGCCGACGGCUGAUUAGUUAGUAGGUGAGGUAAAGGCUCACCUAGGCGACGAUCAGUAGCGGGUCUGAGAGGAUGAUCCGCCACACUGGGACUGAGACACGGCCCAGACUCCUACGGGAGGCAGCAGUGGGGAAUUUUGGACAAUGGGCGAAAGCCUGAUCCAGCCAUGCCGCGUGUCUGAAGAAGGCCUUCGGGUUGUAAAGGACUUUUGUCAGGGAGGAAAUCCCUAGUGCUAAUAACACUGGGGGAUGACAGUACCUGAAGAAUAAGCACCGGCUAACUACGUGCCAGCCGCCGCUGUAA